rnacentral:misc_RNA from 1 species
CGAAAUGCGAUAAUUAAUGUGAAUUGCAGAAUUCAGUGAAUCAUCGAGUCUUUGAACGCACAUUGCGCCCCCUGGUAUUCCGGGGGGCAUGCCUGUCCGAGCGUCAUUGCUGCCCUCAAGCACGGCUUGUGUGUUGGGCUUCCGUCCCUGGCAACGGGGACGGGCCCAAAAGGCAGUGGCGGCACCAUGUCUGGUCCUCGAGCGUAUGGGGCUUUGUCACCCGCUCCCGUAGGUCCAGCUGGCAGCUAGCCUCGCAACCAAUCUUUUUAACCAGGUUGACCUUGGAUCAGGUAGGGAUACCCGCUGAACUUAAGC